rnacentral:lncRNA from 1 species
CACAUUACAACAGACCCAAGUGGAUCCAGGACAAAACGGGCCCAAUUGGCCCAGCUUGUUACACCAAGGCAUGAAACCCUAGGGUUUCUGCCUUUCUCCUUGCGCCGCAAACAGAAGGUUCCAGAAGCCAAGCCUCAUGACUCUUCAGCUCCUGCUGUUCCAACUACCCCGUCAAGGCCAUGAUUCCAGGCUCCAAGUCACGCCGAGAUCAACGCCACCAGUGGACCAUUGUCAGGCCUUUGCCAUUGCCUAAUUUUUCGCAAGUACCUGCAAGAAAAGGAAAGAAAAUCACAGCAGACAUGUGAAGCAAAUACGGAAAGAAAUCGAUGAUUUCUUUCCAAAACUUGUAGUAGUAGAGGCUAUAAAGCCUUCUUUUUAAUCUGUAAAAACACACGGCGGGAGAGAGACCCAAUAGCAGAAAUACACCCACACAAAAGCAGAGAGAAGAAUAGUAGGGAAUCAAAAAACAAAGAGUUUUUAGAAGCAAAGAGAAACAAAAAAAGAAGGUAUAGGGAUUUACCGAAUAGAAUAGCACGAACCAUUGUAAUCCUUUUGAAACAGCGAAAUAAAAAGCGAAUCUCGUUUUUCAAAGGUAAUCGAAUCGUUUUUUUUAAUUUUAUCUGGUCAUUUACUAACAUGCACACACGCAGAUCUAAAAAAAUAGAAACUAAAAACAGAGGGAGAAGGUUGAUACCUGAGAAUUGGCAAAGAAAAUGGAGGGUUUUUGAAACCCUAACCACCGUAUACAGUGGCUCUGGUGGCGGCUCAUUAAGCGCGUGGAGACCACGCACGCCAGACCCUGGGACGAGCCAGGACGGCCAUGAGGCCGGAGCUCCGAGGGUUGGAGCCCUUUUUUCAGAGGUUUUUUUUAUUUUUUUAAAAA